rnacentral:snRNA from 1 species
AUCACUUCUCAGCCUUUUGGCUAAGAUCAAGUGUAGUGUCUAUUUGUAUCAGUUUAAUAUCAGAUACAUUCUCUAUAUAUUAAAUGGAUUUUUGGAGCUAGGAGAUGGAAUAGGAACUUGCCCCACUCUACCCGUCAACUUGGUAUUGCAGUAUCUCCAGGAAUGGUCCAUCCCUU